AUUGAACGCUGGCGGCAGGCCUAACACAUGCAAGUCGAGCGAAUGAAGGGAGCUUGCUCCUGGAUUCAGCGGCGGACGGGUGAGUAAUGCCUAGGAAUCUGCCUGGUAGUGGGGGAUAACGUCCGGAAACGGGCGCUAAUACCGCAUACGUCCUGAGGGAGAAAGUGGGGGAUCUUCGGACCUCACGCUAUCAGAUGAGCCUAGGUCGGAUUAGCUAGUUGGUGGGGUAAAGGCCUACCAAGGCGACGAUCCGUAACUGGUCUGAGAGGAUGAUCAGUCACACUGGAACUGAGACACGGUCCAGACUCCUACGGGAGGCAGCAGUGGGGAAUAUUGGACAAAGGGCGAAAGCCUGAUCCAGCCAUGCCGCGUGUGUGAAGAAGGUCUUCGGAUUGUAAAGCACUUUAAGUUGGGAGGAAGGGCAGUAAGUUAAUACCUUGCUGUUUUGACGUUACCAACAGAAUAAGCACCGGCUAACUUCGUG
rnacentral:rRNA from 1 species